GGGUAGGAUUCAUAUACAGUACUAUAUUAUUUUUCUUUGUAUAAACAUGCACUAGCAUUUCAGGACCAAAAUUACUUGUGUUGCUUGCAUAAAAAUUGCACUCACAAACUAUGGUUACUGAAACAAAGCAAUAGCACAAGCAGCAGAGUUAACAGCAACAUUGACACAGCUUUGGCAAAAAGCUUAGGAGGCAGCAUUCUGUAGUCAUAUGAAAGACAAGAAGCAUACUACCACAUAAUUUGGAGGUUUACAGUUUAGAUCUGAUUCUAGACCUAUCUUAAAAUAAUACUUAACUACCAUGUCCACUCUACUUAACAACAGCCUAGAGACUGACUGACGUGAGCAUUGUCUGGAUAUGCUGGAUAAACAUGCCCUUAUUCUCAUUGGCAACAGUUGGACUUUUUGGGCGGUGGUAUUCAGACUAUAAAAGGAAGGGAGGAUAGGAUAUGGAAAAUCAAUGUACAAACACGAUAUCCCAUCACAUUCUAUACAUCAUGCACAAUGACUGCUGUGGGAGCCGUCCAUUGGGUGUUACACAACUCCAAAUAAAAGACCCUGGAAGUUACAUGGCAGUUGAUUUCCAUGGCCUACUCCCUAAAACCUGCAAUGAUGGAAAAGCAACAUUUUAAUAUUGCUCAACCACCUUUUAAGGAGAAGAUUGCACUAAAUAUCCUAGGAACACUAUAGUUGUUGAAGUUGACAUGUGUAAUUGUUUAGGCUGUAUAACUGGGUGGAAAAAGUCAUCAUAUCAGCUACACCAUACAGCACAUCAAAUGCCAUUUAUCAGCAAGUUGACUAGAAGUGUGUGGUCACUUCACGACUGACAUUUUUUUGUUUUGUUUUGUUUUUAAACACAUUUGAGAAUUUGGUUGUUAAUAAAUAAAUAUAUAUAUGGUGUGCUACAAAUAUCCAUUUUAAUGUAUGUAUUGAUAUAUUUUCUGAUUCCUUAAAUAGAGCACACAAAUAAUAUUAACAGAAAUGAAGAUGUAUUGGUCUUUUGGUUUAUUUGGUGACAUCGGCUCUGGUCAAUGUUUGGUUUUGUUCCUCCAUUUUCUUUAAAAAGCACAAAUACAGUACAUAUUUAGUUCAAAAUCUCUGUGUUGUAAUCACCACAAGGCGGCAGUCAGUCUUCUUAACGCAUUACACAUGGUUUCAGCAGAGGUGUACAACUCCAGUCUUCAGGGGCUAUUGUUUAUUUGAAAUAGGACUCGGGUGUUGGGUUGAAAUCAUAUGGCCAAUAGUAAGCAAAGGUGUGCGCAGACAUGCAUUAAUAACCCCAUAAUAGGUACUUGUAUUUUGCAAAAUAACGCAUAUUGAGCUGGUGCAAAACUAACUAGUAUUCAGCAAAUCAAUUCGUGUCUAUGCUCUGGGAUCACACUAAACAAAUGGGGGAAGACAGGGCUUGCACCAUGACGCAGCUUCCAGGUACCAAAUCUCUCCCAAGUUCCAGAAAAUAAGGUUACAAUUUUGAUUAUAUUUUGUAAUGCACUGUUUGUGCUAACUUUAAAAAAAAAAAAAACAUUUCAGUGGCC